rnacentral:rRNA from 1 species
AUUGAACGCUGGCGGCAUGCUUUACACAUGCAAGUCGAACGGGUGUUGGGGGCAACUCUGGCAUCAGUGGCGAACGGGUGAGUAAUGCAUCGGAACGUGCCUGGUAGUGGGGGAUAACGUAGCGAAAGUUACGCUAAUACCGCAUACGCUGGAGACAGGAAAGCGGGGGACCUGCGAGGGCCUCGUGCUACCGGAGCGGCCGAUGUCCGAUUAGCUAGUUGGUGGGGUAAAGGCCCACCAAGGCGACGAUCGGUAGCUGGUCUGAGAGGAUGAUCAGCCACACUGGGACUUAGACACGGCCCAGACUCCUACGGGUGGCUG